GCGGGAAUAGCUCAGUGGUAGAGCACAACCUUGCCAAGGUUGGGGUCGCGAGUUCGAAUCUCGUUUCCCGCU
rfam:Pseudoalteromonas atlantica T6c, complete genome.